rnacentral:lncRNA from 1 species
UUUCUCUAGAUGCUGGAUGAGGAGGACACUGACAAAGACGGGAUGAGUUUGGAGGUCGACACUCCAGUGACGAACCAUCGGGGUGACGACGACGAUGACGAAGAAGAUCUCCCCGAGAUAGUGCUGGAUGACGUGCCUGCGGUGAGGGUGGCGGGACGGCCUCCAUUCGCUCCGCGGGUAAGUUGGGUUUUUAGUCUGAGCUCGCAGUGUUGCUCUAUUUCCCCUCCGUGGACAUUAAGUUAUGACAGCCUGAGCCUGCACGUUCCAGACCAUGUGGACGGUUCCGAGGGUUGGGACUCCAUGUCAGGCGCGUCUGUUGCCAACUCCCGAUGCCUGCUUCCGCAGGGCAAUGCGAUAACAACACCUGUCCCAGCCUGCAGAGGACAGAGCUCCUUCUCCAGAAGCAUCUUUUCCUCGAGGGAAAGAGUUCUGUCAUCUCCAACUGACAUGGCCUUGG